rnacentral:rRNA from 1 species
GAGUUUGAUCGUGGCUCAGGAUGAACGCUGGCGGCGUGCCUAACACAUGCAAGUCGAACGGAGAUGGUGUAAGCGGAGACUUCGGUCAAAGGUUAUAGUAUCUUAGUGGCGGACGGGUGAGUAACGCGUGGGUAACCUGCCGUAUACAGGGGGAUAACAACUGGAAACAGUUGCUAAAACCGCAUAAGCGCACACUGUUGCAUGACAGAGUGUGAAAAUUUCCGGAGGUAUACGAUGGACCCGCGUCUGAUUAGCUUGUUGGCGGGGUAACGGCCCACCAAGGCGACGAUCAGUAGCCGGCCUGAGAGGGUGGACGGCCACAUUGGGACUGAGACACGGCCCAAACUCCUACGGGAGGCAGCAGUGGGGAAUAUUGGACAAUGGGGGGAACCCUGAUCCAGCGACGCCGCGUGAGUGAAGAAGUAUUCGGUAUGUAAAGCUCUAUCAGCAGGGAAGAAAGAAAUGACGGUACCUGACCAAGAGCCCCGGCUAACUACGUGCCAGCCGCCGCGGU